rnacentral:rRNA from 1 species
UACGGGGGGGGCAAGCGUUGUUCGGAAUUACUGGGCGUAAAGGGCUUGUAGGUGGCCAACUAAGUCAGACGUGAAAUCCCUCGGCUUAACCGGGGAACUGCGUCUGAUACUGGAUGGCUUGAGUGUGGGAGAGGGAUGCGGAAUUCCAGGUGUAGCGGUGAAAUGCGUAGAUAUUCGCAAGAACACCAGUGGCGAAGGCGGCUCACUGGCCCAUUACUGACGCUGAGGCACGAAAGCGUGGGGAGCAAACAGGG